rnacentral:rRNA from 1 species
UGGGGCAUAUUGCACAAUGGGCGCAAGCCUGAUGCAGCCAUGCCGCGUGUAUGAAGAAGGUCUUAGGGUUGUACUGUACUUUCAGCGGGGAGGAAGGGAGUAAAGUUAAUAACUUUGCCUAUUGACGUUACCCGCAGAAGCAGCACCGGAUAACUCCGUGCCAGCAGCCGCGGUACUACGGAGGGUGCCAGCGUUAAUCGGAAUUACUGGGCGUAAAGCGCACGCAGGCGGUUUGUUAAGUCAGUUGUGAAAUCCCCGGGCUCAACCUAGGAACUGCAUCUGAUACAGGCAAGCUUGAUUCUCGUAGAGGGAGGUGGAAUUCCAGGUGUAGCGGUGAAAUGCGUAGAGAUCUGGAGGAAUACCGGUGGCGAAGGCGGCCCCCUGGACGAAGACUGACGCUCAGGUGCGAAAGCGUGGGUAGCAAACAGG